CCUGCCUUUCAGAGGGGGACAACAGUUGGAAACGACUGCUAAUACCGCAUGACACAUUGGGGUCGCAUGGCUCUGAUGUCAAAGAUUUAUCGCUGAAAGAUGGCCUCGCGUCUGAUUAGCUAGUUGGUGAGGUAACGGCCCACCAAGGCGACGAUCAGUAGCCGGACUGAGAGGUUGACCGGCCACAUUGGGACUGAGAUACGGCCCAGACUCCUACGGGAGGCAGCAGUGGGGAAUAUUGGGCAAUGGGCGCAAGCCUGACCCAGCAACGCCGCGUGAAGGAAGAAGGCUUUCGGGUUGUAAACUUCUUUUGUCAGGGACGAGUAGAAGACGGUACCUGACGAAUAAGCCACGGCUAACUACGUGCCAGCAGCCGCGGUAAUACGUAGGUGGCAAGCGUUGUCCGGAUUUACUGGGUGUAAAGGGCGUGUAGCCGGGAAGGCAAGUCAGAUGUGAAAUCCACGGGCUCAACUCGUGAACUGCAUUUGAAACUGUUUUUCUUGAGUAUCGGAGAGGCAAUCGGAAUUCCUAGUGUAGCGGUGAAAUGCGUAGAUAUUAGGAGGAACACCAGUGGCGAAGGCGGAUUGCUG
rnacentral:rRNA from 1 species